rnacentral:rRNA from 1 species
AGAAUCAACGCUGGCGGCGUGCCUAACACAUGCAAGUCGAACGAGAAAGUGGAGCAAUCCAUGAGUAAAGUGGCGCACGGGUGAGUAACACGUGACUAACCUACCCUUGAGUGGGGGAUAACCUAGGGAAACCUGGGCUAAUACCGCAUAAUACCUUCGGGUCAAAGGAGCAAUUCGCUUAAGGAGGGGGUCGCGGCCGAUUAGUUAGUUGGUGAGGUAACGGCUCACCAAGGCGACGAUCAGUAGCUGGUCUGAGAGGAUGAUCAGCCACAUUGGGACUGAGACACGGCCCAAACUCCUACGGGAGGCAGCAGUGGGGAAUAUUGGACAAUGGGCGCAAGCCUGAUCCAGCCAUGCCGCGUGAGUGAUGAAGGCCCUAGGGUUGUAAAGCUCUUUUGUGCGGGAAGAUAAUGACGGUACCGCAAGAAUAAGCCCGGCUAACUUCGUGCCAGCAGCCGC